rnacentral:rRNA from 1 species
GAUGAACGCUGGCGGCGUGCCUAAUACAUGCAAGUCGAGCGAAUGGAUUAAGAGCUUGCUCUUAUGAAGUUAGCGGCGGACGGGUGAGUAACACGUAGGUAACCUGCCCAUAAGACUGGGAUAACUCCGGGAAACCGGGGCUAAUACCGGAUAACAUUUUGAACCGCAUGGUUCGAAAUUGAAAGGCGGCUUCGGCUGUCACUUAUGGAUGGACCCGCGUCGCAUUAGCUAGUUGGUGAGGUAACGGCUCACCAAGGCAACGAUGCGUAGCCGACCUGAGAGGGUGAUCGGCCACACUGGGACGGAGACACGGCCCAGACUCCUACGGGAGGCAGCAGUAGGGAAUCUUCCGCAAUGGACGAAAGUCUGACGGAGCAACGCCGCGUGAGUGAUGAAGGCUUUCGGGUCGUAAAACUCUGUUGUUAGGGAAGAACAAGUGCUAGUUGAAUAAGCUGACACCUUGACGGUACCUAACCAGAAAGCCACGGCUAACUACGUGCCAGCCGCCGCUGUAA